rnacentral:rRNA from 1 species
AACGAACGCUGGCGGCAGGCUUAACACAUGCAAGUCGAACGCCCCGCAAGGGGAGUGGCAGACGGGUGAGUAACGCGUGGGAACAUACCCUUUUCUGCGGAAUAGCUCUGGGAAACUGGAAUUAAUACCGCAUACGCCCUACGGGGGAAAGAUUUAUCGGGGAAGGAUUGGCCCGCGUUGGAUUAGCUAGUUGGUGGGGUAAAGGCCUACCAAGGCGACGAUCCAUAGCUGGUCUGAGAGGAUGAUCAGCCACAUUGGGACUGAGACACGGCCCAAACUCCUACGGGAGGCAGCAGUGGGGAAUAUUGGACAAUGGGCGCAAGCCUGAUCCAGCCAUGCCGCGUGAGUGAUGAAGGCCUUAGGGUUGUAAAGCUCUUUCACCGGUGAAGAUAAUGACGGUAGUCGGAGAAGAAGCCCCGGCUAACUUCGUGCCAGCAGCCGCCGUAACAC